GGUUCUCACAGUCCCAUAUGCUUGUUUUAAAGUAUAACCCACGCAUGUGUAAGUACAAACUGUUAACGGUGAGACUGCGAAAGGCUCAGUAAAUCAGUUAUAAUCUAUUUGAUUGUAAUUUCCAUUGGAUAACCGUGGGAAAUCUAGAGCUAAUACAUGCGAAAAAUUGUGGCAACACAAUGCAUUUAUUGGAGAAUAACCAACCGGAGAUGGUUCUGAAAGGGGCUAUCGCCGUUUAGGUGAAUCUAGAUAACUGUGCUGAUCGUAUGGCCUUUGUGCCGGCGACGUUUCAAUUGAAUUUCUGCCCUAUCAACUUGUUGGUAAGGUAGUGGCUUACCAAGGUUACAACGGGUAACGGGGAAUCAGGGUUCGAUUCCGGAGAGGGAGCCUGAGAAACGGCUACCACAUCCAAGGGAGGCAGCAGGCGCGCAAAUUACCCAAUCCAGACACUGGGAGGUGGUGACGAGAAAUACCAGGUCGUUGGCCAAAAGCCUGCGACACCGGAAUGAACAUAAUCUAAGAAUGUUGUCGAGAAACAACUGGAGGGCAAGUCUGGUGCCAGCAGCCGCGGUAAUUCCAGCUCCAGUAGUGUAUAGUAACGUUGCUGCGGUUAAAACGCACGUAGUCGGAUCACGCAGUGUAAGUACAGUAGUCAGAGAGGGGUAACGUACAAGCCUGCCGGUCGGUGGUUUGGUAGGAAACUGUGCAUGAGGGUAAAACUUUGUGUUACGACCUGUCUUGCAUCGGUCAGUAGGUGUUAUCUCUUUGUGAUUUUAAGCUGACUUAUGCUACAUGUAUCGUAAAUGUGGCUCAUGGCCUUUACCGGUCGUGUGUCGUGUUUGCGAAGUGUGCCUUGAAUAAAUCAAAGUGCUCAAAGCAGGCGUGUUAGCUUGAAUGUUAAUAGCAUGGAACGAACAGUUGUGAAUGCAUUAAUGUGGUGUGGUGCAGGCUGUCAUGGUUUGUACUGCAUUGUGUUAGUGUUGCACCAAUAAUCAAAGUGGGUGUUGGUUUCCACUUUGGUAUGAGUAUUAAAACGAGCGGUUGGGGGCAUUGGUAUUUGUCCGCGAGAGGUGAAAUUCUUGGACCGGACAAGGACUAACAAAUGCGAAAGCAUCUGCCUAGACCGUUUCGAUUGAUCAAGUACGAAAGUGAGAGGUUCGAAGACGAUCAGAUACCGUCCUAGUUCUCACUGUAAACUAUGCCAACCCGGGAUCAGUUUUGAGCUAAGUUUAAUGCUAUGCUCAUGGUUGGUCCCCCUGGGAAACCUCAAGUUUUUGGGUUCCGGGGGGAGUAUGGUUGCAAGGCUGAAACUUAAAGGAAUUGACGGAAGGGCACCACCAGGGGUGGAGCCUGCGGCUUAAUUUGACUCAACACGGGGAAACUCACCGGGUCCGGACAUCGAAAGGAUUGACAGACUGAUAGAUCUUUCAUGAUACGGUGUGUGGUGGUGCAUGGCCGUUCUUAGUUCGUGGAGCGAUCUGUCAGGUUAAUUCCGGUAACGAACGAGACCUUAAUCUCCAUUUAGAGAGCUGUAGAAUAGGGCUCCUUGUGGGUCUUUCGGUAGUAAUAUGUGCCCAGGGUGGAACCGCAAGGGGAAGUCUUGAAGCAUUGUUAUUCCCUACAGCCAGGUGAGGCUUUUGCCUUGCGUUAUGGAGAGACAACCGGGAAUUACCAAACCGGAGGAAGCUAAGGCAAUAACAGGUCUGUGAUGCCCUUAGAUGUUCCGGGCAGCACGCGCGCUACAAUGACAACAGCAGAAAGUAGCCUGGGUUGACAAACUCUGGGUAAUCUUGUAAAUUGUUGUCGUAAUGGGGAUCGUGUCUUGUAAUUGUUGCACGUGAAAGAGGAAUCUCCAGUAAAUGCAACUCAUCAGGUUGUGUUGAUUUAGUCCCUGCCCUUUGUACACACCGCCCGUCGCUACUACCGAGUGAAUGGUGUCAUGAUGCCUUGGGACCGGACGUUGCCAACUGUGUAACAGCAGAUGGCGAUGCUGGGAUCAAUGUAAAAUGGCGCAAUUUCGAGGAAGUAAAAGUCGUAACAAGGUUUCCGUAGGUGACCC
rnacentral:rRNA from 1 species